ACGGGAGACACACGGCGGGUGCUAACGUCCGUCGUGAAGAGGGAAACAACCCAGACCGCCAGCUAAGGUCCCAAAGUCAUGGUUAAGUGGGAAACGAUGUGGGAAGGCCCAGACAGCCAGGAUGUUGGCUUAGAAGCAGCCAUCAUUUAAAGAAAGCGUAAUAGCUCACUGGUCGAGUCGGCCUGCGCGGAAGAUGUAACGGGGCUAAACCAUGCACCGAAGCUGCGGCAGCGACGCUUAUGCGUUGUUGGGUAGGGGAGCGUUCUGUAAGCCUGUGAAGGUGUGCUGUGAGGCAUGCUGGAGGUAUCAGAAGUGCGAAUGCUGACAUAAGUAACGAUAAAGCGGGUGAAAAGCCCGCUCGCCGGAAGACCAAGGGUUCCUGUCCAACGUUAAUCGGGGCAGGGUGAGUCGACCCCUAAGGCGAGGCCGAAAGGCGUAGUCGAUGGGAAACAGGUUAAUAUUCCUGUACUUGGUGUUACUGCGAAGGGGGGACGGAGAAGGCUAUGUUGGCCGGGCGACGGUUGUCCCGGUUUAAGCGUGUAGGCUGGUUUUCCAGGCAAAUCCGGAAAAUCAAGGCUGAGGCGUGAUGACGAGGCACUACGGUGCUGAAGCAACAAAUGCCCUGCUUCCAGGAAAAGCCUCUAAGCAUCAGGUAACAUCAAAUCGUACCCCAAACCGACACAGGUGGUCAGGUAGAGAAUACCAAGGCGCUUGAGAGAACUCGGGUGAAGGAACUAGGCAAAAUGGUGCCGUAACUUCGGGAGAAGGCACGCUGAUAUGUAGGUGAAGCGACUUGCUCGUGGAGCUGAAAUCAGUCGAAGAUACCAGCUGGCUGCAACUGUUUAUUAAAAACACAGCACUGUGCAAACACGAAAGUGGACGUAUACGGUGUGACGCCUGCCCGGUGCCGGAAGGUUAAUUGAUGGGGUCAGCGCAAGCGAAGCUCUUGAUCGAAGCCCCGGUAAACGGCGGCCGUAACUAUAACGGUCCUAAGGUAGCGAAAUUCCUUGUCGGGUAAGUUCCGACCUGCACGAAUGGCGUAAUGAUGGCCAGGCUGUCUCCACCCGAGACUCAGUGAAAUUGAACUCGCUGUGAAGAUGCAGUGUACCCGCGGCAAGACGGAAAGACCCCGUGAACCUUUACUAUAGCUUGACACUGAACAUUGAGCCUUGAUG
rnacentral:rRNA from 1 species